AUUGAACGCUGGCGGCAUGCUUUACACAUGCAAGUCGAACGGCAGCGGGGUAGUGCUUGCACUACUGCCGGCGAGUGGCGAACGGGUGAGUAAUAUAUCGGAACGUACCGAGUAAUGGGGGAUAACCAAUCGAAAGAUUGGCUAAUACCGCAUACGUCCUGAGGGAGAAAGCGGGGGAUCGCAAGACCUCGCGUUAUUCGAGCGGCCGAUAACUGAUUAGCUAGUUGGUGGGGUAAAGGCCUACCAAGGCGACGAUCAGUAGCGGGUCUGAGAGGACGAUCGGCCACACUGGGACUGAGACACGGCCCAGACUCCUACGGGAGGCAGCAGUGGGGAAUUUUGGACAAUGGGGGCAACCCUGAUCCAGCCAUGCCGCGUGUAUGAAGAAGGCCUUCGGGUUGUAAAGUACUUUUGUUAGGGAAGAAAAGGGAAGUGCUAAUACCACUUUUUGCUGACGGUACCUAAAGAAUAAGCACCGGCUAACUACGUG
rnacentral:rRNA from 1 species